rnacentral:rRNA from 1 species
UACGGAAGGUCCGGGCGUUAUCCGGAUUUAUUGGGUUUAAAGGGAGCGCAGGCUGGCCUUUAAGCGUGACGUGAAAUGUAGAUGCUCAACAUCUGCACUGCGUCGCGAACUGGAGGCCUUGAGUGUAUUCGACGUCAGCGGAAUUCGUGGUGUAGCGGUGAAAUGCUUAGAUAUCACGAAGAACCCCGAUUGCGCAGGCAGCUGACGAGGCUAUUACUGACGCUAAAGCUCGAAAGUGCGGGUAUCGAAC